rnacentral:rRNA from 1 species
CUUCUUAGCUAGCUAGCCUUGCGAGAAGGAAGGUGGGGGAGGAGGUGGCGGCCACCGGGGGUGGGUGGAAAGAAUGACGACGAGAGGGGAGGUGGGCCGGAGGUAAACAAAGCGAGGCGGGCGGGCGAUAUUCAUCGGCGGAUAGCGCCGCGAAGGAGCUCUUCGGUUUUGGCGCGGCGCAUUGGGGCGUCAGGGGUGGCCGCGGCGGCGGAGGCCCCGCGCAGGGGCGAGGGCGCGGCUGCUCCCGGCCGUAACGGCUAGCCUCGGCGCGCGGCGCAGGGAGAGGGGGAGGAUGGGGAGCGCGGGCGGCGGCUGCGGCGCACGAGUGGCGAUCGACUACCUAGAUGAUCCCUUGGGAAAGUUCCCCCAGCAGCCGCUACAGUUUCCCUCUCGCAGAACCAUGUUCCUGCUGACCCAACGUCCCGAGGCUUGACCGAAGUCCUAUAACCGUGGAUGGUACAUAUAUAAGAAACGGAGACGUGAGGGACAGUAGAGGAAGCCUCUCGUCGACUCGUUGCUUUGUCUACCAUAGGAUUCGUGUCAACUUUGAGACCGUAGAUGCCGCUAUACACCCUAUUAUGUGCGAUAAGAACCUCCCGUUGGGGAGGACUAACAGCCUCAACGGCUUGGAUGGUAAUAUUACAUGUGCAUGGAAAUGUUCAAGCGGUUCUUCGUCGGUCUAGACCCUCUUGUCGAUAUAAACCGAACCCGACCUACCCAGACGUAAACCUGACGAUAGUACGAGAAAGACAACCGUUACAAGUUACGAAGGUUACAAUAUUCGUCUAAGUGCUCCCAACGUCCUCUCGAAAAACCAUACGAAUAGUGGCAGGAGAAGGACGUUGUUCGAUAGUUCCCUUAACAUUCGCUCAAGUCAUACGGCUUUCUACUACUCUAAAGACUGGGGUCGAGUGGGUAUAUGGUCAAGGUCACCUAAAUACAGUUACCGGAUGAACCACAAUAUAAAAGGUAACCGAACGACAUGUGACGUGACUUCUGAUCCGCACGUUCCAGUACCGACAUACCGUAUCCUACCGAAUCUUCGAAGUAACGGCUAAUACCGCAUGGCGACUACCACUAACACACCUGUCGUAAAAGUAAAUGUGAUGGUUCGUUUCAGGGAAGUCCUCACGGAUCCUCCGAGAAGUCAGGUGAAGGGACCCUCAGUUAGAGUGACUCUGUAACCUGGCAUCGUUUCCUAAACAAAAGACAAGGAGGUUGUAUAUAUAAACGUCGGUAGCACGGACGAAACUACCAGCGUCCUGAAAUAAAGAAACUAGUGUCACAUCGAAGUGUCAACCGAGUCGUUUUCCUCAAGUUAAACUUCUUCGGAAGACGGAUGGUAAUACUGUAAAACCAUGAACCUAAGUACCAGGAUGAUACACCAAACGAACCGUAAGGAGGUAGUUUACCUCAUGAAGGAGUCAGGGGUUACGUAUGUUCUUCGGAACGACAGGAGUUCCCCGUCAACGAUGCGUUUUUCUACGAAGUUUGACGGUUUCUCCCGUACAGUUUGGCACGCUCGUCAAACCUUUAGAUACCGUUCUACGUCCUUCACAAGUAGGUUUACCUAUCGUUGGUCUUACGAUUAAGACAACUGUUCCUGAACUUCUCGAACUUCCUACGACACGACACCCUUCCACUGCUUCUUCCCUUCAACCGACCUCUUAAACUAGGAUCGUUUAUAUAGCUUCGUGUAAACGGACAAGCGCACUUGCUUGUCUCUGAUUCGUUGGACGACGUUAGGAAUGAACAACCACCAACACACCCUCGAUACGGCCAAUAGUUCUACUAUGGUUGAAGCCAGGAGACCCCAAUGAAACGGAUGUACCGGUAACUAUCGGAUGGACCCUUGGUCAAAACCCUUUCCAACGUCGAAGACACGUAACCUCGUUCGGCUGCGAUGUUCCAGAACCUUCCGGGUGUACGUAGAAAGCACCUCAGUCACGGAAGUUCUUGUUAUAGACGGAAAUGCCAGAAGGUCAAACACAUAGAGAACUAUACGAAGCCGUAUUGUACCUAUGGUCAUCGUCCCUAGGAGAAGGGCGACGGAAAGAAGUAAUACUAAGAGUAGUCCGUUGUGGAUGAGGGUUUCAAGAAACUCGGGUUACUGAACGCCCUUGACCUGCGUCGGCUCAUGCUUCUUGAACUUCCACAGGGUGUACUUGUUUGCGACCUCCUUCUACCGAGUUUAAGUCCUUCGACACUGUCGUCUCUGCUGAGACUUUAUAACCUACUCGAGUGUUGUUUGGCACCUCUCGACUUCGUGUCUAGGCAUUCGGUAGGACUUCUUUCCGUGAAAGUCCAGGUCGGUUGGCUAACUUGAAAACUCGACAAAAAAGAAAAAAAUGCCUUCUUGUUCAUGGCGCGUAUAGUCAUCUACGAAGAAAACACGGACAGUACCCGUCUAAAGUGCCCGCGUUUUAAGUAUUUACAAGGGCAGCAGGUGAGUUUACGUCAAGUCGGUUCGCACACUUCUACCUUUUUUGCAGGGAUCCAGGCUCCGACACAUCUAAUAGCACUUCGGUAACAAGUAAAGGCGGUAACAAGUCAUUACACGUACCAUGACAUCGAUCGCGAAAAGCCUACUCGACACUAGCACAUGCGAUCCUUCAUUUCGAGUCCACUAAUCGUCACUCUCGUCUGACUUCUUUCACAUAACCUACACCUUCCCCCUUGAACGGUCUUAUCAUGAUGAUCAUUACCAAUGUUCAUCCGUCUAAUCGGGAAAUCCAUAACGGUUCUGACAACGAGACACUGGACACAUUUUAGAUCGAACGAGACACUGGAAACAAGAAAACGCAUGAGUGUUAAACAAAACAAAACAAAAAGCUUGAAGUUUUGGGGUGAAAUAAUCUGAUAUAAUCCCUAGAGCAGACUUAUGUUAGACCCCAUUGACACAGGGUCUACAACCCACUUUCGAUUACAACUACCCCGAUACCGAUCCAGGCCAACCUCGCCACCACCCCCGCACUAAAAGUCCCUGCUUCUACCUCGAAAGUCCCCUCGACGUAGGGUGAAGAAGGGCCUGACGAGGUUCGGCCUAUACCGACUCGAAGACCGUACGUUUUUCCGCUAAGUCGAUCGGUAUGUCUCCCUGUAUGCCUUCGACGUGAACCUUUGCCUGAGCGUCCACCAACGACCCUACGUUCUUCCAUUCCUCUCCUUAGAUAGCGGACAUCCUGCCAGCUUCUCCAGUUUCGGUACUAAAGUCCGAUUGGACCCAAGCCUCCUGCCGAUUACCGCGACGGGUAAACAACCGAUUCAAUCCACAAUCAAGAUCACAAAGCCAUGAGUGUUAAACAAAGUUGAGCUUGCUUUAAC